rnacentral:rRNA from 1 species
CCGCGUAGGAAUGUGUCUUGAGGUGGGGGACAACCCUGGGAAACUGGGGCUAAUACCGCAUAUGGGCUGAGGCCCAAAGCCGUGAGGCGCCUUGAGAGCAGCCUGCGUCCGAUUAGCUAGUUGGUGGGGUAAAGGCCUACCAAGGCUGCGAUCGGUAGCUGGUCUGAGAGGACGAUCAGCCACACUGGGACUGAGACACGGCCCAGACUCCUACGGGAGGCAGCAGUGGGGAAUAUUGGACAAUGGGCGCAAGCCUGAUCCAGCCAUGCCGCGUGUGUGAAGAAGGCCUUAUGGUUGUAAAGCACUUUAAGCGAGGAGGAGGCUACUUUAGUUAAUACCUAGAGAUAGUGGACGUUACUCGCAGAAUAAGCACCGGCUAACUCUGUGCCAGCAGCCGCGGUAAUACAGAGGGUGCAAGCGUUAAUCGGAUUUACUGGGCGUAAAGCGCGCGUAGGCGGCUAAUUAAGUCAAAUGUGAAAUCCCCGAGCUUAACUUGGGAAUUGCAUUCGAUACUGGUUAGCUAGAGUGUGGGAGAGGAUGGUAGAAUUCCAGGUGUAGCGGUGAAAUGCGUAGAGAUCUGGAGGAAUACCGAUGGCGAAGGCAGCCAUCUGGCCUAACACUGACGCUGAGGUGCGAAAGCAUGGGGAGCAAACAGGAUUAGAUACCCUGGUAGUCCAUGCCGUAAACGAUGUCUACUAGCCGUUGGGGCCUUUGAGGCUUUAGUGGCGCAGCUAACGCGAUAAGUAGACCGCCUGGGGAGUACGGCCGCAAGACUAAAACUCAAAUGAAUUGACGGGGGCCCGCACAAGCGGUGGAGCAUGUGGUUUAAUUCGAUGCAACGCGAAGAACCUUACCUGGCCUUGACAUAGUAAGAACUUUCCAGAGAUGGAUUGGUGCCUUCGGGAACUUACAUACAGGUGCUGCAUGGCUGUCGUCAGCUCGUGUCGUGAGAUGUUGGGUUAAGUCCCGCAACGAGCGCAACCCUUUUCCUUAUUUGCCAGCGAGUAAUGUCGGGAACUUUAAGGAUACUGCCAGUGACAAACUGGAGGAAGGCGGGGACGACGUCAAGUCAUCAUGGCCCUUACGGCCAGGGCUACACACGUGCUACAAUGGUCGGUACAAAGGGUUGCUACACAGCGAUGUGAUGCUAAUCUCAAAAAGCCGAUCGUAGUCCGGAUUGGAGUCUGCAACUCGACUCCAUGAAGUNGGAAUCGCUAGUAAUCGCGGAUCAGAAUGCCGCGGUGAAUACGUUCCCGGGCCUUGUACACACCGCCCGUCACACCAUGGGAGUUUGUUGCACCAGAAGUAGCUAGCCUAACUGCAAAGAGGGCGGUUACCACGGUGUGGCCGAUGACUGGGGUGAAGU